rnacentral:rRNA from 1 species
UACGUAGGGAGCAAGCGUUGUUCGGAUUUACUGGGCGUAAAGGGCGCGUAGGCGGCGCGGUAAGUCACUUGUGAAAUCUCUGAGCUUAACUCAGAACGGCCAAGUGAUACUGCAGUGCUAGAGUGCAGAAGGGCAAUCGGAAUUCUUGGUGUAGCGGUGAAAUGCGUAGAUAUCAAGAGGAACACCUGAGGUGAAGACGGGUUGCUAGGCUGACACUGACGCUGAGGCGCGAAAGCGUGGGGAGCAAACAGG